GUCGAAGCUGAGCAUUGGAACAGAGAGUCAGGCUGGUGUAUGGUCACACACUGCACAGCUCCUUCUCUGAAAGGAGGACACAUCACUGCUCUCUGUACCUCUGGUGUCCCCCCACUCUACUUUUAUGUGUUUGAAGGUCUCCAUGGCUCACAUUUCCUUCAUAUGAACUGGGCUUUUCAGUUUCAACACUGAAUGUAAUGCAGGGCAGGCUGUGUGACCACAGUAAUAAGAAAAAAGCCUGCAGAGGACAAGACCGAGGAAUUGAAAACAAAGGGCACCUCCUCUCUCAGGGACUUGCCUGGCUUCACACCUACGAUUUGUGCUAUGGCCCCUGCUAAGUCAAGGGACUGCCCUAGUACAGCAAAAAUUAGGUAGAAGUGACACAUCCCAUCCACACAUCAUGUCCAAACAGCCCCGUACAAGACAAGCCAAACCAAACCCCACAGCAGGAGAGAAGGUUUGCUCACUGCUGCCCAUGUCCUCACCUGCCGCAGGCCUCUCUUCCGCCCCAGGGGCUGCUGCAGGAGGAGGUUCUGCUGUCCUGGCUCGCUCUGCACACUCGCCACCCUGUUAGAUGUUGACAGCAUUAGGCCAAGGAGAGAAGCACGCUGCAUAACUAGUGGGUGUCCUGGCAAUUGGGACUAAAGUAAAUAAAUAAACAAGAGAUCGACCAACCACUAAUGGCACAGUCACUUCAAAGAGCAGCACUAUCUUUGAAGGAUGGGAGGGGACAUGUCUGUUGGGUUGUGGCUUCCGGGGCUUAGGAAAGGGUGGGAGGUGGAGUCAUGGUAUUCAGGACUUGGCCACGCACAGGUAGCAUCCAAAUAUAAAUAACUGCAGAUUUCAGUUUUCAGUCAUUGAUUGAUGCAUCCCACUGAGCAGCACUCACUUCUCUGCAUCCUUUGCCACAUCAGUGAAGGCAGGAACAUCAGCUUCCUAGCUCAAAAGCCUUCUUGUUUGCUUUUCCUUUAUUCAAGGACAAUGUUGUAAAAGCUAUUUUUUAUCUUCCUAAACAAGACUCCAUGGCCUCAUCACAAUUUUGUCAUCUGGUUUUAAUUUCAAUUUAAGUCAACAAACAAAAAACAAACGCAAAGUGACAAAGGAUCCAUUCACAUAAUGGAUGCAUGAGUUAUGUGAACAAGGCCCCGCACUCAACACUUGCAGCCUCAAGUAUUUUUGUGACUAACAAACAAAAGAGACAAGUAAACAGAAACUAGAUAGAUAGAUAGAUAGAUAGACAGACACAUCUUUUGGUUUUUAAUAUACUGGCACAAAAUAUCUGAAAACCUGCAGUAGAGGAAACUUUAGCAAUAAAACAAACUCAGCUAUGUACCAUCUCAUACUACCAUUCAACUGACCAUUCAACCUACUUAAUAUAAAAAUACCAGCCUCCCCUCAUUUUUAUCAAAGCACUGUAUUUCUCCAAACACUGGAUAUUUAGCAGUCACAAAACACUUUAGCUGAGAGACUUAUGACUACAGUAGUCACUAAUAGUUAAGACAGACUUCUUUUAACUCAGGCAGCUAAUUUUUUUUAAGCCAGACUGGAAUCCACUGAGCGAUGUUUCCUAUUUAAGCAACUUCCAGCUACAGCUGGUAUGCAAAGUGUUCAAGAUUCAGUAUUGCAAUCCAUUUUGUCUUUGGCUUUGCAUUAAUCUAAAGGAAAACAACAUUCUUUUGUCUAGAUGCUUCCUUGGAUCUGCCUGGAGUCUGUCAGUACCACCAAGAGAAUGAAGGCUUAAUCACCUGUCUGUUCAGGGCUGGAGGAAGAAGACAAACCUAGGGACAUGGUCAGACAAGACAUGGAGGAUGGCUUUGCCUUCUGAGCAGUUCAGUCUUCACUUUGGCAGAAGUUACCAAUUGUCCUUACAAGGGGAGACAGUGGGAAACUUCGAGGAGAGAGACAUUUUGGGACCCUGAAGAUGUUUAUCUUUUGAUUGACAGACUACAGCCGAAUAAUCUGGGCUUGCCCUCAGCAAUCUCACCACAGCUGCACUGCCUUGGAAAAAGAGGAAAAGCUUCAGCAAGCUCAAAGCCAAAAAAACCAAGAUACAUUUGAGUCCUUUUCUUCCUUAGACAGGUCUUCCAAAUGAAAUCACCAGUCCCUGGAACAUAUAUCCCAGCUUUUCCAUAGCAUAUUGACAUGCUUUACAUAGCAAGCAUCCUAAACACCACACAAACACCUGCCUAGGGAUAAGCAGAGCCCUUAGAGUUACCUCCUAUUAGCAGGAAUAUGUUCUUAAAUCAGACAGUGACUGCAGCACAUAUGACUAGUAAUUUCAAAAGCAUCACAUCAUUCCUUAUUAAAUCAGAGACUGCACUUAAAUUAGUCUUUAUAUUUGUGAUCCAGACUACUUGAAAUUGCUUGGUGGAUAUUGUUAAUCUUCUAUUUCUAGGAUUACAUAAGAACUUAUUCUUCUGAGUUUCUAGAAGUUUUUACAGUGGUUACCACUAUGUGAAUGAAGAAGGAAUUAAAAUCUGAAACAAGCUCACUUCACAUGUGAUAUGAAAACACUAGGAAAAGGCCUUAGAUAACAGGUAAACAUGGACUGUGUGAGGGCACAGAGGCUAUACACAAGAUAAAAACUAUUCCCAUGCACUGGAGACAAACAAUAGGCAAGGAAAAAAAAGCUGGACUUCUUGUCUUCCUGCUGGAAUCUGGGAUUUUCAGCCACAAGUGAAAUUAGUUAAGUGAGCUGGUGGAUGUUCACUUCCAGUACUGAAUCAUUACACAAAUUGGUAUAAUUUGGGAUGACCUUACAAGCUAAAACUGCAGAUACCUGUUGCAGGGAAAUGGUGAACCUGAGUGCAGCUGAGUUUUGCAGAGCUGCCUGUGGACAACACAGUCCUGCUGUGGCUGUCUUUUGGCUCUCUAUCCCCACAUUUAGAAGAAGGAAAGAGAGAGAAAGAGAAUGCUAAAGACCACAGACAAGUUACUGAAUUUUCAGCUAUAAGUUUUCUCUUCAUGAGAGUUUGUGAGGGUUUCUUUUCACAUCAAAGAACAGAACUACCCAUCCUGUUGCUGUGAAAAGGAACAUGGCAGCAGAAGGUUGGCUCUGUGCAGCCUGCCCUCCCUCCUUUUCUGUCUCUCCUUGUUUACCAGCCCUGACCAGGAAUACACUGUUCUUCUGAGCCAAGGAACCCCAAAUGAAGUCCCUUUUCAGCUGACUGUAUAUUUCCCCCCCACCCAUGGCACUGUGAUCUUAAGAACAGUUUUUCUGAAGGACAUAAGCCACAUUUAUUUGGGAAUUAGAAACAAGAUUUUUUUUUUCCUGCCCAACACAAAGAUGCUCUGUCAUUCUGAGUAUCUCUGUCAGGGGUUUAUUUGCACACUAAUGUUGCUCCCAUUAUACAGGGCAGAAGUGAGCCAAAGAUCAAACCAACCCAAGUUUAUGGAUGCAUGUUGCCAGCUCUACAAGGAAUGACACAUAGUGGGGGCCAAAACAAACUUUGUCAGGUUGGCAAGUAAAAGAAGUGAUGCUCAAGAAGAAAACCUAACCAUACAGGCAAAGGAAAAAAAAAACAAAAACCAAACAAACAAAGAAACAACAAACAAAAAACCAAACCAAACAAAAACAACCCAACAAAACAAAGGAAGCAACAAGUCUCAAUGUCUGUUAAAGAGAUGUAAAUGCUUGCCACACCAUCAUGGUAGAGCAUACACACUUUGUGUCCUUAGACAUAUGAAUGAGAAGGUUGGUGAACAAAGGCAGUGGAGAAUGGGUUAAAUAUAUUGUAUUUCCAGACACAUCCUAGCCCAGUUAGCAUUAAAUCUGCUGCUGCAAUUGCCCUGGCGAUGUGGAUUCAAUCUGAUUUUUCCUGUUAGGAGCCAUUAAGUUAGGAUAGGCACAAACACUACAGGGAAAUGUGUUUGUGCAACAGAUUUCCAUUACAGUGGCUUCACCUUCUCCCUUUCUGAUUUGGGAAAAUAUCCUGUCCUCUCAGAUUAUAACCACAACAGAUCAAGAUGCUCCUCAGCCCUGCACCCCAAGCUGGCUGAGCACUUCAGUGUCACUUCUCCCCUUCCUGCCUUCCCUGCUUUUCUCCAAGGCUGUGUCUAAUUGCUAUAGAACAACGGGAAACAGACUUUAUUAUUUCUGUAUGUGUCACAAUUUGUUUAAUUUAUUUAAGACUCCUACCUUCCAAAAGGGUCUAAUCCCUAGUAAAUAUUGUUUCUUUAUCUCAGUUAUGAUUAAACAUCAGCUUAUGAAUUUAGGUGACUCUAAAACAUUAUCAUUGUGCGCCAAAAUCAAAGCUACAUAAGAAAAACUCAAGCCUACUUUAUUCAGAACUAAUGUUCUUGAAUGUAAAAACAAAUUAACACUGCCCUAUAAUCCCCACAGUAAAAUAAGCUUUUGCAACAUCUGCUUUAUUACUGCUGUCCUUUGGAGGAAGAUUCCAGUUUUCACAUUUAACAAUGCAGUUGGAACAUCUUUUCCUCCUCACAGAGAUCUAACCUAAUCUUUCUAGACAUAUUUGCAGUGUCUUCAUUCCUUCUUAAGGCUUGCAGCCCUGGUGCCCGUCCUUAAGACAUUAGUGCCUGCUCCCUGAAGAGGAUAAUAAACCUCAGCAGAACUGACUGCCAA